UGACGUGGUAUUUUUCAUUAAUUUUAGCUCUUGUUUUGAUGGUUGAAAUUUAAUUGUAAUGAAAUCAAAAUAUUAGAAACUUAAUUGUAAAAAAAAAAAAAAAAAAUUGCGGACCACAGUAAAAAAAUGUGGAACGGUAUGGGACCAAUGGUGUUAUUAACCUUAAGGGUGCGUUUGGUUCAAGUUACGUAGUAUUACAAAAUAUUUUGAUAUAUCCAAAUAUUUGUUCUAAAUGAGAUUACUACUGAUGUUGUAUUAGCACGUUUCGUUUAAUACAGUAAUAUAUUAAAGGAUUACAAUGUUUAUAGUAUUACUAUAUUUAGUUCUGUGUAUACAAUUCAGUAAUCUAGACAAUAAAGUAUAGUCUAUUCUAAAAUUGCCAUUAG
rnacentral:lncRNA from 1 species